rnacentral:rRNA from 1 species
GACGAACGCUGGCGGCGUGCUUAACACAUGCAAGUCGAGCGGUAAGGCCCUUUCGGGGGUACGACGAGCGGCGAACGGGUGAGUAACACGUGGGUGACUGCCCUCAGCUCUGGGAUAAGCCUGGGAAACCGGGUCUAAUACCGGAUAUGACUCCAUGACGCAUGUUGUGGGGUGGAAAGCCUUGUGCGGCUGAGGAUGGGCCCGCGGCCUAUCAGCUUGUUGGU